AGCGUGCGCAGGCGGUUUUGUAAGUCUGUCGUGAAAUCCCCGGGCCUCAACCUGGGAAUGGCGAUGGAGACUGCAAGGCUAGAGUUUGGCAGAGGGGGGGUAGAAUUCCACGUGUAGCAGUGAAAUGCGUAGAUAUGUGGAGGAACACCGAUGGCGAAGGCAGCCCCCUGGGUCAAGACUGACGCUCAUGCACGAAAGCGUGGGGAGCAAACAGGAUUAGAUACCCUAGU
rnacentral:rRNA from 1 species